GACAUGGCUCGGGAUGAACGCUAGCUACAGGCUUAACACAUGCAAGUCGAGGGGAAACGACAUCGAAAGCUUGCUUUUGAUGGGCGUCGACCGGCGCACGGGUGAGUAACGCGUAUCCAACCUGCCCAUCACUUGGGAAUAACCUUGCGAAAGUAAGACUAAUACCCAAUGAUAUCCCACGAAGGCAUCCGAAUGGGAUUAAAGAUUUAUCGGUGAUGGAUGGGGAUGCGUCUGAUUAG
rnacentral:rRNA from 1 species